rnacentral:lncRNA from 1 species
GAGCACGAGCGGCGGGUCGCGGAAGGCGCCGACGGAGGCGAAGCUCAAGGUGGCGAUCAACGGGUUCGGGCGCAUCGGGCGCAACUUCCUGCGGUGCUGGCACGGGCGCGGCGACAGCUCGCCGCUGGAGGUGAUCGCCAUCAACGACACCGGAGGCGUGAAGCAGGCGUCCCACCUCCUCAAGUACGACUCCACGCUGGGCAUCUUCGACGCGGACGUCAAGCCCGUGGGCGACAACGCCAUCUCCGUCGACGGCAAGGUGAUCAAGGUCGUGUCCGACCGCAACCCCUCCAACCUGCCGUGGGGCGAGAUGGGCAUCGACCUCGUCAUCGAGGGCACCGGCGUCUUCGUCGACCGCGCCGGCGCGGGCAAGCAUCUCGAGGCCGGAGCCAAGAAGGUGCUCAUCACCGCGCCCGGCAAGGGCGACAUCCCCACCUACGUCUGCGGCGUCAACGCCGACCUCUACACCCACGCCGACACCAUCAUCAGCAACGCCUCAUGCACCACCAACUGCCUCGCCCCCUUCGUCAAGGUCCUCGACCAAAAGUUCGGUACGUGCCCGUCUCCCUCCCUCUCUCUCUCUCUCAACUGAAUCAACUUGUUGACGAUGACUAAUGGCGGCGGUGGCAAUGGCGCAGGC